rnacentral:tRNA from 1 species
GGUGGCUCAGUGGUAGAGUGCUUGCCUUGCAUGCAUGAGGCCCUGGGUUCAAUUUUUCAGCACCA